AACAGGGAUAUUAGCAUUUGUCAGUGACUUUUGUAAGUCUUUAGCUGACACUCUAGGAUUCUUCUUCACCUCAUUGAGCAGUCUGCUCUGUGCUCUUGCAGUCAUCUUUACAGGACGGCCACUCCUAGGGAGAGUAGCAGCAGUGCUGAACUUUCUCCAUUUAUAGACAAUUUGUCUUACUGUGGACUGAUGAACAGCAAGGCUUUUGGAGAUACUUUUAUAACCCUUUCCAGCUUUAUGCAAGUCAACAAUUCUUAAUCGUAGGUCUUCUGAGAGCUCUUUUGUGCGAGGCAUCAUUCACAUCAGGCAAUGCUUCUUGUGAAAAGCAAACCCAGAACUGGUGUGUGUUUUUUAUAGGGCAGGGCAGCUGUAACCAACACCUCCAAUCUCAUCUCAUUGAUUGGACUCCAGUUGGCUGACAUCUCACUCCAAUUAGCUCUUGGAGAUGUCAUUAGUCUAGGGGUUCACAUACUUUUUCCACCUGCAUUGUGAAUGUUUACAUGGUGUGUUCAAUAGAAACAUGGC